rfam:Dictyocaulus viviparus strain HannoverDv2000 D_viviparus-1.0_Cont377.17, whole genome shotgun sequence.
AAGUAAGUUGCUGGGAAGUUAUGCUUUUAUAGAUCGAUCUUAGCAUAGUGAUAUGGUAUGAAUUGUGCUGAUAUGUGACAGAAGUAUUAGAAUGAUAUAAUGCUACAAGUGAUGUAUUAAUAAUUUCUAAGCACAAAUGCUAUUUAUAUUGGCAUGUGAAUCGCUUUCCAACAAAUUAUAAUCGCUAAACUCAUUUUCCCGUCAUGCAUUUUCAUAUUCUUUCUUUUUUUCAUCUAUAUUUCGAGUAUAUCGGCGGCAUAGUUCGCCGAUAUUCCAAAGAAAUGUCUACCCUAUCAACCUGGUCUAUGAGUCUACCAUGGUUAUUACGAGUAACGUAGAAUAAGGGUUCGACUCCGGAGAGGAAGCCUUAGAAACGGCUACCACAUCCAAGGAAGGCAGCAGAUGCUAAACUUAUCCAAUCUUGAAGAGAUGGGAUAGUGAAUAAAAUAAAAAGACCAUUCCUUUGGAACGGUUAUUUCAAUGAGUUGAUCAUGAACGUUUUUUCGACUAUUGAGGGAAGAGAGUUAGUCUGGUUCCAGCAGCCGCGGCAAUUCCAGCUCCUCUAGUGUAAAUCGUCAUUGCUGCGGUUAAAAAGCUCGUAGGUGGAUCUGAAUUACAUGCAAUCGCCUUUGGCGUCAUUCAUUGUUGUAACUAUGUGUGCUGGUUUUCUAUCAGUUUCGGCUUUUCUAGAGACUAGCGAGUUUAUUUUGAAUAAAUUAGAGUGCUCAAAAUAAGCGUUUGGUUGAAUCGUUGAUUAUGAAAUAAUAGAAGAGGACUUUGGCUCUAUUUAUUGGUUCAGGAAUUGGAAUAAUGGUUAAGAGGGACAAUUCGAGGGCAUUCGUAUCCCUGCGCGAGAGGUGAAAUUCGUUAACAGCAAGGAAACACUCUAAAGCGAAAGCAUUUGCCAAGAAUGUCUUCAUUAAUCAAGAUCGAAAUUCAAAGGUUCAAAGGCGAUUAGAUACCUCCUAGUUCUGACCGUAAGCUGUGCCAUCUAGCGAUCCGGGUAUUGUUGCCUUGUCGAGGAGCUUCCCGGAAACGAAAGUCUUUCGGUUCUUGGGGCAGUAUGGUUGCAAAGCUGAAACUUAAAGAAAUUGACGGAAUGGCACCACCAGGAGUGGACCCUGAGGCUUAAUUUGACUCAACACGUUGAAAGGUCCUUGGUGGUGCAUGGCCGUUCUUAGUUGGUGGAGCAAUUUGUCAAGUUUAUUCCGAUAACGAGCGAGACUCUAGCCUGCUAAAUAGUGGCUAGAUUUUUCCUUUCGAAUAUGUCCAGUCUACUUCUUAGAAGGAUAAGCGGUGUUCAGCCGCACGAGAUUGAGUGAUAACAGGUCUGUGAUGCCCUUGGAUGUUCGGGGCUGCACGCGCGCUACAAUGGAAGAAACAGCUAGCUUGUCCAUUACCGAAAGGUGCUGAUAAAUCGUUGAAUAUCUUCCGUGACCGGGAUAGGGAAUUGUAAUUAUUCCUCUUGAACGAGGAAUCCCUAGUAAGUGUGAGUCAUCAGCUCAUGAAGAGGAUUAUAAAUACAAAGUAUACCAAAAAGUUUUGACCUUUC